CAUUGGGCUGCGAUGCCAUUGCUGCAACUAUUGCUGAAACUGCCCCCUCCCCAAUCUCCCCCUGGUGCCUCUGGAACAUGCCUGGGCAGGACCCACUCGCACGCCAAGCUGGGAGGCUGCCAUGAGGACCGGGCCAAGACACUACCACAGGUGUCUAGCUGGGUUCACGCUGAGGUCAGGAAGGAACACCCAGAGAGAAAGGGGGAAAAAAAAACAGACAAAAGAAGGGAGCACAAAAGGCACCCUUUGACCAGCAAAAUGUCUGCAAUAGCGACGGAAGGAAAGCAGGGCUGGACGAAUGCAGCAGCACAAGAGGUAUAGCCAGCAGCAAUGGACCUCCUCAGAAUUCAGCUGCUGAAGGGAAGGAGGGUCAUUGCAGUUCCUGCAAUGUUCCAUUUGAGUAGCACCUGGAAGCAGCAGGAUAUUAACUUUCAGAACAUCUUGGCACCAAGUGGAUGCAUCAUGGCUAAUUCCAAUCAUAGAUACAUAGGAAUUCCAAAUGGAUCUCCCAUUGUGGACUCUUCAGAAUAAGAAUAAGUUGAAGCUUCAAAAGAUAGAUUGCAGCAGUGAUCCGUGAGGAAAAAUGAACAAAAAAAAGUGGAAAGAAAAUGCUGUGGAGAAAUAAUUAUAAUAUCCCCAUUUGUAAUGUACAUUUAUGUCCCUUUAAAUUUCAUUCUGCCUUGAAGGUAAUCUCUAGCAACAUUGGCCUCUUGGUUUUUCCAGAUGUCAGCUAUCUUCAGUGUUAUUGAGACAAUGGAACAUGAAACAUAAUAUAAAGUGGAAAGCAGGAUGCAUAAAAUACUGUUUUAUGCCAACUAAUUUAAAUACAUUGUUCCACAUUUGGCUUGGUGAAAUUUAGGCCGGACGAAGAUGAAGACUCCCAUUUCUGAUAUAAUGAAGGAAAUGCAUCAAUUGGGACUGCAGUUGGUGAAAACAUAAGGGUUGUGUGUCUGUGACUUCCACCUUGAAGCUAUUUUUCAACAUUCAUUUGGCUCUUGUAGUUUUAUAUCAAGAUUGUACCUACACAAAGGUAAUAAUGAAUACAAACUUAUAUUAGAAUGAAAUUUGGUGCUAAAAUGCCUUGCUGGUCGAAAUUUGCAUUUUUAAAAAGGUAGGGUUCUGAUGUUCAAUGUUGUUUAUAUCCAUUUUCCAGGUGAUAAAUGAAUGAAUUAUAAUGAUGAGGCCUGAGGACAAAUUUAGGAUAUUUCUUGGGCUGUUUGGAUCUGACAUGGUUGAGUUUGCCCUAUAUGUGCCUCUGUAUUUGUAACCGCUUCAAGUCCGUUACCCGGAAAACGUUGUUCAUUAAGAUAUCAAGACAUCUGUCCUAUAAUAACUGGUUUCAGGUGCAUUGAGAUGUAUUAACACUGCCAGAAAGUGCAGCAGUACUGCACUUGACUGAGCAUAUUUCAGGCUUCUCAUGUGACUGUUCCGUAUGGUUGCUUUAUUCUGUAUGUCAUAUUGUGUUAACCACAGCUCGAACAAAGAAAAGCCACAAGACAUCUGAACUUCCUUUUGGCAUUUAGCUUUGUGAUGAUCAAAAUUAUAAUUUUACUUGAUUAUCUCAACAGCACAGAUAAAACUGUCUUGGGCAAUACACCCUUUUUUAAAUUUGGUACCAUCUUGAUGAAAAGUGAAUAGUGAUUGGUUUUGUUAUUAACUGUGAAACUGUGAUUACAAGGUGAAGAUAAAUAAUUUUAUGAUUUUAUGAUCUUAUGAUCCUCAAGGGUAAUGGAAGCUGAUUUGAUGGGAACUUGCAAAACGGAAAUUGGAUGUUGAUUUCAAAGAGCCAACUUAGGCAUAAUGGACUGAAUAGACAGAACCAUUUUAUGAUUCUAUGAUGGUGUAUUCAGGAGCAAAUUUACCUCAGAAACACCAGCUUGGAAGACUGAAUAGUUGGCAUGAAUGGAGGAAAUUUCUCUUCCUGGUAAUAUUCUGGAGAGUCAAAAAAGUGUAAAAUCUACAUCCCACAUCCCCACUGAACUGAGAUGAAUUUCAAAUUAGCACAUUAAAUAUUCAAAUAUCAGUACCACA